CACACUGCCGAGAAAAGCCUCUAGAUAGAAAAUAGGUGCCCGUACCGCAAACCGACACAGGUAGUCAAGAUGAGAAUUCUAAGGUGAGCGAGCGAACUCUCGUUAAGGAACUCGGCAAAAUGACCCCGUAACUUCGGGAGAAGGGGUGCUCUUUAGGGUUAACGCCCAGAAGAGCCGCAGUGAAUAGGCCCAAGCGACUGUUUAUCAAAAACACAGGUCUCUGCUAAACCGUAAGGUGAUGUAUAGGGGCUGACGCCUGCCCGGUGCUGGAAGGUUAAGAGGAGUGGUUAGCUUCUGCGAAGCUACGAAUCGAAGCCCCAGUAAACGGCGGCCGUAACUAUAACGGUCCUAAGGUAGCGAAAUUCCUUGUCGGGUAAGUUCCGACCCGCACGAAAGGCGUAACGAUUUGGGCACUGUCUCAACGAGAGACUCGGUGAAAUCAUAGUACCUGUGAAGAUGCAGGUUACCCGCGACAGGACGGAAAGACCCCGUGGAGCUUUACUGUAGCCUGAUAUUGAAAUUCGGCACAGCUUGUACAGGAUAGGUAGGAGCCUUUGAA
rnacentral:rRNA from 1 species